CAUAAAAAUAACAACGUGAAAAAAAGAUAUAAAUUCGCCAUCAGUUGGGCAGCGGCUGGUUUUGUUGUGCACUGGGAACUCGUGCACUGGUGGCCUGUCGAGCGGACAGUGUCGGAGGCUGCGAGCUGUUGAUAAGUGGAGGAGUGGCAGGAUGUCACGCCCCACCAACCUGGUGUGGGAUGUGAGGAAGCGCUUGAUGGGGCUGGAGGAUCCCCGACUAAUUCGCU